rnacentral:sRNA from 1 species
ACUUUGUUCCCUCCGCGGAGGGGACUCCGCAACUCGCAGCGGCAGGGUCUGGAGCCGGCGCCUGGGAGGGAUUUGCGCCCCCUACUCUCUCCCUAGCUGUGUUCCCGCCGCCGCCCCGGCUGGUCUCCGGCGCUGGCGCCUAUGGUCGGCCUCCGACAGCGCUCCGGAGGGACCGGGGGAGCUCCCAGGCGCCCGGGACUGGAGACUGAUGCAUGAGGGGGCUACGGAGGCGCAGGAGCGGUGGUGAUGGUCUGGGAAGCGGAGCUGAAGUGCCCUGGGCUUUGGUGAGGCGUGACAGUUUAUCAUGACCGUGUUCAGGCAGGAAAACGUGGAUGAUUACUACGACACCGGCGAGGAACUUGGCAGGUAAAGGGGGUGCCAGAAGCGUACCCUCCUGGAUUGUGGAAAUGCAUAACGAUGGGGCCAUUGGGUGGUAAACAAAUGCAGUUUGAAUCAGGCGUCUCCCUCGCCCUUUCUGGAGAUGCGCAAAUCAUAGAGAAAAGAGUUACUAACCCAGCGGUAAACCGCCUGGUCCAAGGGCCUGGGGGUGGAGGAGAGGCAGCAGUUCAGGGCUAGAUU